rnacentral:tRNA from 1 species
GGAGGGGUCGCCUAGAGGUCUAUAGCACGCUUGGAAAGCGUGUUGGGCGCAAGCCCUCGAGGGUUCGAAUCCCUCUCCCUCCGCCA